GACAGAGGUGGCGAGCGUUGUUCGGAUUUACUGGGCGUAAAGAGUGCGUAGGUGGUGAGGUAAGAUCUGUGGGAAAGACCUGGGCUUAACCCAGGAAGGUCGCAGAUGACUGCCUCGCUUGAGGACGGGAGAGGAGAGCGGAAUUCCCGGUGUAGCGGUGAAAUGCGUAGAGAUCCGGAAGAACACCAGUGGCGAAGGCGGUCUGCUGGGCAGUUGCUGACACUGAUGCGCGACAGCGUGGGGAGCAAACAGG
rnacentral:rRNA from 1 species